UACGGAGGGGGCUAGCGUUAUUCGGAAUUACUGGGCGUAAAGGGCGCGUAGGCGGCCACCGCAAGUCGACUGUGAAAUCUCCGGGCUUAACCCGGAAAGGUCAGCCGAUACUGCGGGGCUAGAGUGCAGAAGGGGCAACUGGAAUUCUCGGUGUAGCGGUGAAAUGCGUAGAUAUCGAGAGGAACACCUGCGGCGAAGGCGGGUUGCUGGGCUGACACUGACGCUGAUGCGCGAAAGCUAGGGGAGCGAACGGG
rnacentral:rRNA from 1 species